rnacentral:rRNA from 1 species
AGAGCGAACGCUGGCGGCAGGCCUAACACAUGCAAGUCGAACGGACCCUUCGGGGUUAGUGGCGCACGGGUGCGUAACGCGUGGGAAUCUGCCCUUGGGUUCGGAAUAACAGUUGGAAACGACUGCUAAUACCGGAUGAUAUCGAAAGAUCAAAGAUUUAUCGCCCAGGGAUGAGCCCGCGUAGGAUUAGCUAGUUGGUGAGGUAAGGCUCACCAAGGCGACGAUCCUUAGCUGGUCUGAGAGGAUGAUCAGCCACACUGGGACUGAAGACACGGCCCAGACUCCGUACGGGAGCCAGCAGGUAGGGAAUAUUGGACAAGUGGGCCGACAAGCCUGGACUCCGAAGGCAAGUCGGCCG